rnacentral:rRNA from 1 species
UACGUAGGGUGCAAGCGUUGUCCGGAAUCAUUGGGCGUAAAGCGCGCGUAGGUGGCUUCGUAAGUCCGUUGUGAAAGUCAAAGGCUCAACCUUUGAAAGCCGAUGGAUACUGCGGAGCUAGAGUACGGAAGAGGCGAGUGGAAUUCCUGGUGUAGCGGUGGAAAUGCGCAGAUAUCAGGAGGAACACCCAAUAGCGAAGGCAGCUCGCUGGGACGUU